rnacentral:rRNA from 1 species
UACGUAGGGUGCAAGCGUUGUCCGGAAUUAUUGGGCGUAAAGGGCUCGUAGGCGGUCCAUCGCGUCGGGAGUGAAAAGCUGGGGCUCAACCCCAGUCCUGCUUCCGAUACGGGUGGACUAGAGGUAGGCAGGGGAGAACGGAAUUCCUGGUGUAGCGGUGAAAUGCGCAGAUAUCAGGAGGAACACCGGUGGCGAAGGCGGCAUCCAGGACCGGCAUUGACGCUGAGGCGCGAAAGCCAGGGGAGCAAACGGG